rnacentral:rRNA from 1 species
AGCAGUAGGGAAUCUUCCACAAUGGACGAAAGUCUGAUGGAGCAACGCCGCGUGAGUGAAGAAGGGUUUCGGCUCGUAAAACUCUGUUGUUAAAGAAGAACAUAUCUGAGAGUAACUGUUCAGGUAUUGACGGUAUUUAACCAGAAAGCCACGGCUAACUACGUGCCAG